rnacentral:rRNA from 1 species
GUGGAUUAGAUACCCUGGUAGUCCACGCCGUAAACGAUGGAUACUAGCUGUUCGGGGCAACCUGAGUGGCUAAGCGAAAGUGAUAAGUAUCCCACCUGGGGAGUACGUUCGCAAGAAUGAAACUCAAAGGAAUUGACGGGGGCCCGCACAAGCGGUGGAGCAUGUGGUUUAAUUCGAUGAUACGCGAGGAACCUUACCAGGGCUUAAAUGUAGUGGGACAGGCUUGGAAACAGGUCCUUCUUCGGACUCAUUACAAGGUGCUGCACGGCCGUCGACAGCU